GUGACUUAGCGGCGGACGGGUGAGUAACGCGUGGGCAACCUGCCCUGUACAGGGGGACAACAGUUAGAAAUGACUGCUAAUACCGCAUAAGCGCACAGCAUCGCAUGAUGCAGUGUGAAAAACUCCGGUGGUACAGGAUGGACCCGCGUUGGAUUAGCUAGUUGGUGGGGUAACGGCCUACCAAGGCGACGAUCCAUAGCCGGCCUGAGAGGGCGACCGGCCACACUGGGACUGAGACACGGCCCAAACUCCUACGGGAGGCAGCAGUGGGGAAUAUUGCACAAUGGGGGAAACCCUGAUGCAGCGACGCCGCGUGAACGAUGAAGUAUUUCGGUAUGUAAAGUUCUAUCAGCAGGGAAGAAAAUGACGGUACCUGACUAAGAAGCCCCGGCUAACUACGUGCCAGCUGCCGCGGUAAUACGUAGGGUGCGAGCGUUGUCCGGAAUUACUGGGCGUAAGGAGCUCGUAGGCGGUUUGUCGCGUCGUCUGUGAAAUCCCGCAGCUCAACUGCGGGCUUGCAGGCGAUACGGGCAGACUCGAGUACUGCAGGGGAGACUGGAAUUCCUGGUGUAGCGGUGAAAUGCGCAGAUAUCAGGAGGAACACCGGUGGCGAAGGCGGGUCUCUGGGCAGUAACUGACGCUGAGGAGCGAAAGCGUGGGUAGCGAACAGGAUUAGAUACCCUGGUAGUCCACGCCGUAAACGGUGGGCGCUAGGUGUGGGUUUCCUUCCACGGGAUCCGUGCCGUAGCCAACGCAUUAAGCGCCCCGCCUGGGGAGUACGGCCGCAAGGCUAAAACUCAAAGGAAUUGACGGGGGCCCGCACAAGCGGCGGAGCAUGUGGAUUAAUUCGAUGCAACGCGAAGAACCUUACCUGGGUUUGACAUGUACCGGACGACCGCAGAGAUGUGGUUUCCCUUGUGGCCGGUAGACAGGUGGUGCAUGGCUGUCGUCAGCUCGUGUCGUGAGAUGUUGGGUUAAGUCCCGCAACGAGCGCAACCCUUAUGGUCAGUUUCUAACGCGUAAUGGCGAGGACUCUGACAAGACUGCCGGGGACAACUCGGAGGAAGGUGGGGACGACGUCAAAUCAUCAUGCCCCUUAUGACCUGGGCUACAAACGUGCUACAAUGGUGGUUACAAAGAGCAGCAAGACCGUAAGGUCAAGCGAAUCUCAAAAAAGCCAUCUCAGUUCGGACUGUGGGCUGCAACCCGCCCACACGAAGUUGGAGUUGCUAGUAAUCGCGGAUCAGAAUGCCGCGGUGAAUACGUUCCCGGGCCUUGUACUCAACGCCCGUCA
rnacentral:rRNA from 1 species